GUGAUUGGGAUGGGGCUGUGGGAGCCUCAUCCCCAUGGGCACAGCUGUGAGCAGCAGGUGAGCAGCACUGACACAAUGAGCCAUGGAGUGCCCAGGGGCACUGAGCAACCACCAAAGGGAGCAGAGGGCACACAGGUGCCAUGCAUCAACAUGAGGGGAUAAAAGGUUGGGCUAAAGAACAAGCAGGGCAGAUGCCUGGAGCCUUCUGAGGUGAUCUGAUGUUACUCUGUGUGAGCAGAUGCCUGAUAUCCUCUGAUGAGGCAAAGAGGCAAUGCAACUUGAUAGUUGUGUCAUCCUGUGAAAAGAGGUUCUCCUGUGAAAAGAAAUCCUCAAGCUGCCGCUACAAUGGAGAUGGUUUGUGGCUGAGGGUCAUGGAAUUACAGGUAUGGUGGAACUGGGGUGAGUUGAUCUGUGACUACACAGGCUCUGCCACUCACAAAUCUUGUGUUUCAGUGGCAGUGCAGUUAAUGGCUGGCUGA
ensembl:lncRNA